rnacentral:tRNA from 2 species
GGCGACGUGGCCGAGUGGUUAGGCACAGCUCUGCAAAAGCUGCUACACCGGUUCGAUUCCGGUCGUCGCCU